UGUUUAGCCAACCAGAGGCCGCGCACAGCAUGGAGGUGACAAGCAUGGUGCUGGUAACAAGGGAUCUGGGCAACGACAAAAUUAUAUGCGUCUUGGCUAUGAAACUGGAAAUAACCCAUUUUACUUGCGUUUCACAUACGAGCCAUAUUACAAGGGGCAUCACUUACGACGGGAAUACCCACCCCUCUCUUUACUACAGCUUCAGAAAAUGAUUGAUACAGAUCGUCUGGAUAUCUCACAACCUCUAGAUUUGUCAGUCAUUUGCAACACUGGAUUAUA